GGGUUGUGAGGUUAAGCGACUAAGCGUACACGGUGGAUGCCCUGGCAGUCAGAGGCGAUGAAGGACGUGCUAAUCUGCGAUAAGCGUCGGUAAGGUGAUAUGAACCGUUAUAACCGGCGAUUUCCGAAUGGGGAAACCCAGUGUGAUUCGUCACACUAUCAUUAACUGAAUCCAUAGGUUAAUGAGGCGAACCGGGGGAACUGAAACAUCUAAGUACCCCGAGGAAAAGAAAUCAACCGAGAUUCCCCCAGUAGCGGCGAGCGAACGGGGAGGAGCCCAGAGCCUGAAUCAGUGUGUGUGUUAGUGGAAGCGUCUGGAAAGGCGCGCGAUACAGGGUGACAGCCCCGUACACAAAAAUGCACAUACUGUGAGCUCGAUGAGUAGGGCGGGACACGUGGUAUCCUGUCUGAAUAUGGGGGGACCAUCCUCCAAGGCUAAAUACUCCUGACUGACCGAUAGUGAACCAGUACCGUGAGGGAAAGGCGAAAAGAACCCCGGCAAGGGGAGUGAAAAAGAACCUGAAACCGUGUACGUACAAGCAGUGGGAGCCUCUUUAUGGGGUGACUGCGUACCUUUUGUAUAAUGGGUCAGCGACUUAUAUUCUGUAGCAAGGUUAACCGAAUAGGGGAGCCGAAGGGAAACCGAGUCUUAACUGGGCGUUAAGUUGCAGGGUAUAGACCCGAAACCCGGUGAUCUAGCCAUGGGCAGGUUGAAGGUUGGGUAACACUAACUGGAGGACCGAACCGACUAAUGUUGAAAAAUUAGCGGAUGACUUGUGGCUGGGGGUGAAAGACCAAUCAAACCGGGAGAUAGCUGGUUCUCCCCGAAAGCUAUUUAGGUAGCGCCUCGUGAAUUCAUCUCCGGGGGUAGAGCACUGUUUCGGCAAGGGGGUCAUCCCGACUUACCAACCCGAUGCAAACUGCGAAUACCGGAGAAUGUUAUCACGGGAGACACACGGCGGGUGCUAACGUCCGUCGUGAAGAGGGAAACAACCCAGACCGCCAGCUAAGGUCCCAAAGUCAUGGUUAAGUGGGAAACGAUGUGGGAAGGCCCAGACAGCCAGGAUGUUGGCUUAGAAGCAGCCAUCAUUUAAAGAAAGCGUAAUAGCUCACUGGUCGAGUCGGCCUGCGCGGAAGAUGUAACGGGGCUAAACCAUGCACCGAAGCUGCGGCAGCGACACUAUGUGUUGUUGGGUAGGGGAGCGUUCUGUAAGCCUGUGAAGGUGUACUGUGAGGUAUGCUGGAGGUAUCAGAAGUGCGAAUGCUGACAUAAGUAACGAUAAAGCGGGUGAAAAGCCCGCUCGCCGGAAGACCAAGGGUUCCUGUCCAACGUUAAUCGGGGCAGGGUGAGUCGACCCCUAAGGCGAGGCCGAAAGGCGUAGUCGAUGGGAAACAGGUUAAUAUUCCUGUACUUGGUGUUACUGCGAAGGGGGGACGGAGAAGGCUAUGUUGGCCGGGCGACGGUUGUCCCGGUUUAAGCGUGUAGGCUGAUUUUCCAGGCAAAUCCGGAAAAUCAAGGCUGAGGCGUGAUGACGAGGCACUACGGUGCUGAAGCAACAAAUGCCCUGCUUCCAGGAAAAGCCUCUAAGCAUCAGGUAACAUCAAAUCGUACCCCAAACCGACACAGGUGGUCAGGUAGAGAAUACCAAGGCGCUUGAGAGAACUCGGGUGAAGGAACUAGGCAAAAUGGUGCCGUAACUUCGGGAGAAGGCACGCUGAUAUGUAGGUGAAGCGACUUGCUCGUGGAGCUGAAAUCAGUCGAAGAUACCAGCUGGCUGCAACUGUUUAUUAAAAACACAGCACUGUGCAAACACGAAAGUGGACGUAUACGGUGUGACGCCUGCCCGGUGCCGGAAGGUUAAUUGAUGGGGUUAGCGGUAACGCGAAGCUCUUGAUCGAAGCCCCGGUAAACGGCGGCCGUAACUAUAACGGUCCUAAGGUAGCGAAAUUCCUUGUCGGGUAAGUUCCGACCUGCACGAAUGGCGUAAUGAUGGCCAGGCUGUCUCCACCCGAGACUCAGUGAAAUUGAACUCGCUGUGAAGAUGCAGUGUACCCGCGGCAAGACGGAAAGACCCCGUGAACCUUUACUAUAGCUUGACACUGAACAUUGAGCCUUGAUGUGUAGGAUAGGUGGGAGGCUUUGAAGUGUGGACGCCAGUCUGCAUGGAGCCGACCUUGAAAUACCACCCUUUAAUGUUUGAUGUUCUAACGUUGGCCCCUGAUCGGGGUUGCGGACAGUGUCUGGUGGGUAGUUUGACUGGGGCGGUCUCCUCCUAAAGAGUAACGGAGGAGCACGAAGGUUGGCUAAUCCUGGUCGGACAUCAGGAGGUUAGUGCAAUGGCAUAAGCCAGCUUGACUGCGAGCGUGACGGCGCGAGCAGGUGCGAAAGCAGGUCAUAGUGAUCCGGUGGUUCUGAAUGGAAGGGCCAUCGCUCAACGGAUAAAAGGUACUCCGGGGAUAACAGGCUGAUACCGCCCAAGAGUUCAUAUCGACGGCGGUGUUUGGCACCUCGAUGUCGGCUCAUCACAUCCUGGGGCUGAAGUAGGUCCCAAGGGUAUGGCUGUUCGCCAUUUAAAGUGGUACGCGAGCUGGGUUUAGAACGUCGUGAGACAGUUCGGUCCCUAUCUGCCGUGGGCGCUGGAGAACUGAGGGGGGCUGCUCCUAGUACGAGAGGACCGGAGUGGACGCAUCACUGGUGUUCGGGUUGUCAUGCCAAUGGCACUGCCCGGUAGCUAAAUGCGGAAGAGAUAAGUGCUGAAAGCAUCUAAGCACGAAACUUGCCCCGAGAUGAGUUCUCCCUGACUCCUUGAGAGUCCUGAAGGAACGUUGAAGACGACGACGUUGAUAGGCCGGGUGUGUAAGCGCAGCGAUGCGUUGAGCUAACCGGUACUAAUGAACCGUGAGGCUUAACCUUACAACGCCGAAG
rnacentral:rRNA from 1 species